rnacentral:rRNA from 1 species
GAUGAACGCUGGCGGCGUGCCUAAUACAUGCAAGUCGAGCGAAUGGAUUAAGAGCUUGCUCUUAUGAAGUUAGCGGCGGACGGGUGAGUAACACGUGGGUAACCUGCCCAUAAGACUGGGAUAACUCCGGGAAACCGGGGCUAAUACCGGAUAACAUUUUGAACCGCAUGGUUCGAAAUUGAAGGGCGGCUUCGGCUGCCACUUAUGGAUGGACCCGCGUCGCAUUAGCUAGUUGGUGAGGUAACGGCUCACCAAGGCAACGAUGCGUAGCCGACCUGAGAGGGUGAUCGGCCACACUGGGACUGAGACACGGCCCAGACUCCUACGGGAGGCAGCAGUAGGGAAUCUUCCGCAAUGGACGAAAGUCUGACGGAGCAACGCCGCGUGGGUGAUGAAGGCUUUCGGGUCGUAAAACUCUGUUGUUAGGGAAGAACAAGUGCUAGUUGAAUAAGCUGGCACCUUGACGGUACCUAACCAGAAAGCCACGGCUAACUACGUGCCAGCCGCCGCAGUAA